UCGCAAGCCAUUGCCGAGUCUUCAGGACUUCUCACAUUUAUUAAUCUUGACUAUUUAGUACAUAUGUUAAUACUUUUAUGAGCCAUACGGCUCAUGAGAGUGUUAACAUGUAAAUGCUUAGCAUGUUUGUUAAAAUGAUUUUAUUUUUACAGGGGCCAUGCGGCGGCGACCGCUGAAUCACCGAGUCGUCUUGUAUAAGUAUAUUUUGUAUCUCUUGUUUUUUUUUUUUGUCUAAAACAUAAAUAACUGAACUAGACACUGUUUUAGUCCAGCUACUUAUGUACGUUUUAUCAAUGUGUAGAUUAUUUAAAAUUUUAAUAUUAAUUUUCUUUUCUUUUUCUGUGACAAAAAACAUAAAUAAUUGGACUAGACACGCUUAGUCCAAGUAUGUACGUUUUUUUAAUCACUGGAGGAGGGUGGGUUUGGUGGGACGCCACGUCAGGAAACCUCCUCGAGAGCCUAGGCACUCCCAAUUCCUCUUGAUUCUAUUGAUCAGCAGGAAACGGAAGGGUCUGGGCCGGUGCGCCCUGGGGGUAACGGUAAAUAAUUUCUUGAUGUGAAAAAAGAGGAUUGUUUACUGGUGCUGCUAAUGUCCUGAUACAGGGGUUUGCAUGUUGCCUUAUAUUUAGGUUACAGGUUGCCUUCAUCCACUUUGAGUAUCAAACAGCAAGUCCUCGUGAACAAUCUGGCUGCCAUAAUUGACAAAAGGCAACGAAGAUGUGGAAGUGUAUUGACUACAGGAGAGUCUACAAUCAAUAUCCUGUGUGACAUGAUGAUCGGUGCGCCUGCACUGUCGCCACAGCAUUACCGACCGGCGACCAGCCUUCGCGCGCCUGCACGGCCUAAGUCAUCGCCAAGUGUGGCCCUCGUCGUGUGUGCCUUUCACGCCAAUAGAUUAGGCCUCCAGCACCAGUCCAUGAACCAGCGCUGCCACCUGCGUUUGCGCUCCGUCCCUCGCACCUUCAGGGCAUGCUCUCUACAACACUGCCAGCGCCCUCCGUGUCUCCACUGGAGCUCUCUAACGGCGUUCCUCAAAAACGGCAACUGGUGUUAGAUCUCCAAUUGACAUGAUGGACCUAUGAUAAUAUUUUUACUUUACGCAGACGACCUGAAGCUCAUACGUUGCAUAAAUAACUCCAUGGACUGUGACCUAUUACUGCAAGUUAUUGAUGCUUUGCUCUGCUGGAGUAAGAAGAACAAAUUACUCUUUAAUUCUCUUUAAUCUAUCUAAGUGCAGCAUAAUGACCUUUAGCCGUGCUCAGUCUCCAUCCCCCCCCGACUCACGUGUUUGUGUAUGUAUGUAUGUUCGGGAUAAACUCAAAAACCACCGAAUGGAUUUUCAUGCGGUUUUUAUUAUCAAUAGAGUGAUUGUUGAGGAAGUUUUUAGGUGUAUAAUUUGUUUAGGUUUCGUGUAACCCGUGCGAAGCCGGGGCGGGUCGCUAGUUCUUAAUAAUUUUAAAUUAUAAAACUUGUUUUUAUGAGUAUUUCCUAUAACAUAGCUUUUAAUUUUGUUUUUAAUUUGGCAGAUGAUUGUAUAAGUAACUAAAUACUAAAAUGUUAUUUUGUUUCAUUUAAUAAGUAGGUGAUAUGUGUUUAUUUUAGCUAUUUACAAAAACUUAGCUGCCUCUAUGUAAUCGAAGUUACGCUCUCAUUUUGUAAAGAGUAUUGACAUGCUGAACACAAGUGAACAGCUAUAACCGACAAGAAAUUGUAGAAAUUAAAAAGUGGCAACAUCGUAGUGUCGUCCCGUUUUCUUAGAUUGAUUUGAAAGGGACGGUCUAUAAAUAACAGGAUUCUUGGCAUGAGUAUUAAAGUAUUAUAUGAUGAAUAUGUCUAGAGUUGGCCAAGAAAAGCUAUUUUGAUAGCAUACGCAGUGCAAGUGUUGGUAUAGCGGCACUUGAUGGUAUAGCGGCCCCUAAAUUGCCAAUUACAUCCACACUUCCCGAUAUCGGGCCUGAUAAUUGUUUUCAGUUUCACGGAAUAUCAGCACAUUAUGUGAAAUGUAGAAAAUACUUUAUCUCUAAUUGUUCAAUGUUUGAUAUUUUUUCAUAUGAUUAUUUGAUGAAACUGAAAAAUAUUCUUUCUCGGGCCCGAAAUCGGGUCCGAUGUCAGCAGAUGUGGCUAUGACCGCGAAAAACGAAGUUAGUCAAUUACGG